rnacentral:rRNA from 1 species
UACGUAGGGUGCAAGCGUUUGUCCGGAAUUAUUGGGCGUAAAGAGCUCGUAGGCGGUUUGUCGCGUCUGCUGUGAAAACCCGAGGCUCAACCUCGGGCCUGCAGUCGAUACGGGCAAACUAGAGUACUGCAGGGGAGACUGGAAUUCCUGGUGUAGCGGUGAAAUGCGCAGAUAUCAGGAGGAACACCGAUGGCGAAGGCAGAUCUCUGGGCCGUAACUGACGCUGAGGAGCGAAAGCAUGGGGAGCGAACAGG